CACGCCCACCAUUUGUUUCAUCCUUCUUCCCACCUGUGCACUUCUGUAGGCCACCCAGCCAAAAGCCUUCCCGGCAUGCGGCUCCAACAGUGGUCUACGUUUUCUCAUCAACUCCAAUGAAUGUGUAGAGUGUAGAACAAGGUCCAUAAUGGCCUUAUAAAAUCUAAUACAACUUUCAACAACGGAUCUCUUGGCUCUCGCAUCGAUGAAGAACGCAGCGAAAUGCGAUAAGUAAUGUGAAUUGCAGAAUUCAGUGAAUCAUCGAAUCUUUGAACGCACCUUGCGCUCCUUGGUAUUCCGAGGAGCAUGCCUGUUUGAGUGUCAUUAAAUCAUCAACCCCCACUCCCUUGUGGUAUGGGGUGUUUGGACUUGGAGAUUGCAGGCCCACCAGUUGGGCCAGCUCCUCUGAAAUGCAUUAGCAGAGCCCAUCAUGUGCAUCUGUGGCUUGGUGUGAUAGUAAAUCUACACCUAGCAAUGUUGUGCAUCGAAUCUGCUGCCAGUCGUCCGCUUCGUGGACAACCAUUGACCAUUUGACCUCAAAUCAGGUAGGAUUAC
rnacentral:rRNA from 1 species